UCCCUGGUGGUCCAGUGGCUAAGACUCUGAGUUCCUAACAUAUGGGACCUGGGUUCGAUCCCUGGUCAGGGAA
rnacentral:tRNA from 1 species